CAGCAAAAUCACCAGUGUUAAAUUUUCAGGGAUGGUGUUAAAUACACAGUGUUGAUGCUGUUUUAACACUAUCUGGUAAUAAAAUAACACUGCCAUUGCUAGGCCAGUGUUAUAUUCACGACAGUGUCAGUGUAAAACAAGGGUGUUAUCAGAUUUCACUCUGAGCGGUGUAAAUCAAGCCACGCCUCCACUAAACAUAUCCUGUCAGGGAUUUUACCGCCAUUUUCUUUCACAGGAGGACUGAAGAGAUCAGGUAAAUCAGUCUCAUAAUAUUCACAUGGUUUGGCUAAAUUAAACUGUUAUUUCUCUGUCUGACUCUACGCAGCCAUAUGCCAAAAAACCUAAAUAAGAUAUUUUUCCCAUUUUAUUUCCCCUUUGUUCGUUAUUUGGUUCAGUUUAAUCAGAGCUACCUUGUGUUACGUUGUUCCCUUGUUAGUUUAGUAUCAAGUUAAACUGCUAGCUAAAAGUUUAAAACCAAGAAGGAUAAUAUUAACAGGAGAUAUGAACGAAAGAAUUGAACCAUGAUAAAACGCGACAUGCACUACAAAUUGAAGGUAUGAAAUUAAGUUGAAUGAAAGCUCGUUUAUUCACCAUAUGAUGCUCGUUAUGAGGUAAUCAUAUAGGCUAGAUACCGUGAGUUAACGAGGUCGUUUACAUGCACGUGAGUGCAUGGAUAUCGGUUAAUUAUUCAAAUUACUGAAAAACACGGAGAAAACCGCAACCGCAUCGUCAUGUGUUUUUCUAAGAUGUAUGCAAACAGGGGAAAUAUCGCCAAACCAACAAUUAAUUUGACCAAAACCUCACAAUAUAUCAUCAUUUGUAUGCACAGAUUGGAUGCAUUGUGUGUUGUAAGCUUUUCGUGGCGCUAGAUGUCAGACAGAUGCAAAUGGCAAAUACACACGAAAGUGUAAAACGUGUAUGGCGAACAUUUGUUUUUUUCUGUCAUUAUAGAUGCUAGUUUGGUGAAAGUUCACACUGAGUGCUUCAAAUCAUUCAGAAGAGAUGCUGUUUUUAGGGCAGUUUAUUAAAGAAGACCUGACAUGGAUGACUUCCAAUGAGAAACGACUGCUAAUACUUAUAUAAAUUCAUUACAGAAGGACCCUAUCACAUUCCUUAAUCCAGUUUGGAGGAUCAGAGCUUACCAACUAGUUAUAAAUAUGCUGAGGUGAUGUAUUGCAAAAUAGCCAACAUACAACAAUAUGGAUGACCCUCUGUCUGGUCAACAGGAGUUUAAAUAUGGACGGGACAGUGAUGUGGCAGCUCUUCCCUGGCUCAUUCACCUCUUGCCUUUCAUUUGUGAAAGGAAGAAAGAAGAAAGAGGGUCAAUGUGCAACUGAAGCUACUGAUUGUGCUGUGUGAUGAGCAUCAAUCCAUGCUUUGAGGGGAAUGAAUCAGCACAGCCCUGCCUGCACUGCGUUGGGAACAGAAGUUGCAUCCAGAAUUUUUGCAUCAUUCUGGACCAAAAAGCCAUUCCCUCCAUGAUGAAGACCACUGAUGCAGCCUUCCACUACAUCAUGAGUAAAACAACUACAGAACUAAAUACCAGGUUGGAACGUAUUUAAUAAAAAUGAAAUGUCUUUUGAAUUGAAAUGUCUGUUUUGUUAUGGAAAAAUCUUUAGUAUUGUGAAGGA